CCUACGGGUGGCAGCAGUGAGGAAUAUUGGUCAAUGGACGAGAGUCUGAACCAGCCAAGUAGCGUGAGGGAUGACUGCCCUAUGUGUUGUAAACUUCUUUUAUAAAGGAAUAAAACGAGGCACGUGUGCCUUUUUGCGUGUACUUUAUGAAUAAGGAUCGGCUAACUCCGUGCCAGCAGCCGCGGUAAUACGGAGGAUCCGAGCGUUAUCCGGAUUUAUUGGGUUUAAAGGGAGCGUAGAUGGGUUGUUAAGUCAGUUGUGAAAGUUUGCGGCUCAACCGUAAAAUUGCAAUUGAUACUGGCAGUCUUGAGUACAGUUGAGGUAGGCGGAAUUCGUGGUGUAGCGGUGAAAUGCAUAGAUAUCACGAAGAACCCCGAUUGCGAAGGCAGCUUACCAAACUGUGACUGACAUUGAUGCACGAAAGUGUGGGUAUCAAACAGGAUUAGAUACCCCUGUAGUC
rnacentral:rRNA from 1 species